rnacentral:rRNA from 1 species
GACGAACGCUGGCGGCGUGCUUAACACAUGCAAGUCGAACGGAAAGGCCCUGCUUGCAGGGUACUCGAGUGGCGAACGGGUGAGUAACACGUGGGUGAUCUGCCCUGCACUUCGGGAUAAGCCUGGGAAACUGGGUCUAAUACCGGAUAGGAGCCAUUUUUAGUGUGAUGGUUGGAAAGUUUUUUCGGUGUAGGAUGAGCUCGCGGCCUAUCAGCUUGUUGGUGGGGUAAUGGCCUACCAAGGCGGCGACGGGUAGCCGGCCUGAGAGGGUGGACGGCCACAUUGGGACUGAGAUACGGCCCAGACUCCUACGGGAGGCAGCAGUGGGGAAUAUUGCUCAAUGGGCGCAAGCCUGAUGCAGCGACGCCGCGUGGGGGAUGACGGCCUUCGGGUUGUAAACUCCUUUCGCUAGGGACGAAGCUUUUUGUGACGGUACCUAGAGAAGAAGCACCGGCUAACUACGUG